UCGCGUUGUGCUUGUUUCGUCCAGCAGAGGGGGAUGCUCGUUGUAGCAGCUUCACUCACUCUUCUUCGAACUACUUGUUCGCGUUAGUUUUAGAGAAAACUGCUAUGGAAAACUCGGCCAGAAGCUAGCAAGUGUCAAGUGAAUCCACAACAUCCCCACAAACAAACAAAGUUACACUCGUUUGAGAUACUAGCCAAUGAUAGUGGAGAGGAGGAAGACUGGAUAGGAAGAAGAGUGAGAGAGGAGGAAAGCGGGGGAAGAACGGCAGUUGUAGAACAUCAACAGACGAAAAAGCCUCUCUGAUUGGCCGUGUUGGUAUGCCCUCUGCCACCACAUUCUUCAAGAAGUUUUGCUCAUGUUCUCUUCUGCUCUUAAGUCUACCCAGACUACCAGGACCACUGAAUGGCUGUUCAGAUCGGUUCUACCCAGACUACCAGGACCACUGAAUGGCUGUUCAGAUCGGACAGUUCUGUCUCGUCCGUAGUGUUUCUGUAAUAUAGUUGUUUUCUCUCAGUGGGCCCGUUAGACUAAAUACAUGAAACUGGAAUUGUCACCCUUUUCUAUUUCAUAGAUAAUAACAUUGGAUAUUUUAAUUAUAUAUUGACUGCCGAACUGGAACUGGUUUUAAUUUCAGAAAUGUGGUCACCUUAACUUACUACAUAUAACGCCAGCCUCAUUAUGGAGAGGAGUAUACAUACAUUCAUAAUGCCCAGGGCCUGGUUCCAUAAAACAACUUAAGUACAUUUUCCCCUUAUCGUUUUCCUUCAAGUUUCCUUAACUUAAAGUCAGUUACACUAAAUAUUUUAAGGUGAAAAUGUUAAGGGUGUCCAUGCGGUCCCUUAUGUGCUUCAUUCAGUAUGGAUAUCAAUGUAAACAGCAUUUGUGGAGAUGAAUGUUGCUUUCCUCUGUCCAUUUUGCAGAAGGAAAACAUCAACCAGCUAGCUCUGUUACUUCAGCUAAACAAUAGAAGGUGCACAAUCAAUAUAUACAUAAUUGUGCACAAUACAUGGCUACAAAGCUAGCUAGCUACCUUCUCUUUAAGUUAGCUUGACAUGCUAUAAUAAAAAACAAG
ensembl:lncRNA